GAUGAACGCUGGCGGCGUGCCUAAUACAUGCCAGUCGAGCGAACGGACGAGAAGCUUGCUUUUCUGACGUUAGCGGCGGACGGGUGAGUAACACGUGGAUAACCUACCUAUAAGACUGGGAUAACUUCGGGAAACCGGAGCUAAUACCGGAUAAUAUUUUGAACCGCAUGGUUCAAAAGUGAAAGACGGUCUUGCUGUCACUUAUAGAUGGAUCCGCGCUGCAUUAGCUAGUUGGUAAGGUAACGGCUUACCAAGGCAACGAUGCAUAGCCGACCUGAGAGGGUGAUCGGCCACACUGGAACUGAGACACGGUCCAGACUCCUACGGGAGGCAGCAGUAGGGAAUCUUCCGCAAUGGGCGAAAGCCUGACGGAGCAACGCCGCGUGAGUGAUGAAGGUCUUCGGAUCGUAAAACUCUGUUAUUAGGGAAGAACAUAUGUGUAAGUAACUGUGCACAUCUUGACGGUACCUAAUCAGAAAGCCACGGCUAACUACGUG
rnacentral:rRNA from 1 species